rnacentral:lncRNA from 1 species
UUAACUCUGACUGUUACAUUGACCGUUACGACAGUUGAGGCCCACACAUGAAUCCCUUACAAAAAAACCAAUCAGGUCCUUGUGAGUUUUUAUUAAUAAGUAAUCGGGUCUCUACCACCUGCACCGGCCAUGGCAGUGUGGCUGCAUGCACCACCUGCGCCGGGCCGUGGCUGCACUGGCAGCGGUGGCGCCGACCUGCGCCAGCAAAUCGGAGUACACUAUUUCACUACAGAAGAAGUAUUAUACGUAUAUGCUAGCAAACUAUAAGUAAGUUUAACACAACAAUUCAGCAAACACAAGUUGGGCCUUAAUUUAUACACGCGUCAGUGUUAUUUCCAUACCAUCGAACACUCGGAUCUAGGAGUAUUUUCCAUAAACAUUGCUGGUUGCAAAUGCUUUGGGCAUCGAUUUAAUGAAUGCUACAAUAGCUUGCCCCUUUAAAACUGAUGUGAACUCAGUUGUGCAACCGUGUUCUUGUCUACUAAUUACAGUACCAUGAAAAAAAUGAAACUCCAUGGGCACUAGCACCCAUGGUUUAUUGAUAUAGAAGAAGCAUCCCUAAUGAGAAACCAGAAAUUCGUCCCCGACGUGGAUCGAACCCUGGUUGCUGAAGACGCCACUGCGCUCCCUUGCCACUAGGCUACAACCUAGUUCUCACUAAUUACAGUACCAUGGUUGAUAGAACGGUAGCGACGGAGCAUCUCUCUAACACGAGGAUGGCCUAAAUAAGGAUAUCGAUUUUUCUUUUGCGAGGGACGGACCACGACUCCGACACCGAGUCGGUUACGCACAAGCCGCAGAGCCACGGCCGUCUAUAUACCAUGAUGUGUAUGUAACUCUCACGUCCAUGCAUCUGAAUCUGAACAUCUGAUCUCAUUUGAAGCACCUCCUAUCCCCUCCUGGUGUGGUGUUGAGUAGCGAGGGCGCUUGCUCGAGGCCAUCCCUCGCGCAUGCGCUGGGCUCGAUGAUUAAUGGCCCGGAGGACACGAUGCCGUUUGCUGAUCCAAGACUACUAUAGUGGUCGACGCCUGGAUGUUUCAUGAGCCAUGCUUAUUCAACAUGAAUUCUGCGACAAGACCCUCGAGCUUCUGGGUGGAACGGCUGGUGACCCACACAUGCCUCAAUACAUCGCACUGCAUGUUGAGUCCAUGAAUGUGUUUGAGCGGAAGUGCGCUCCGUGGACGUGGAAAGCCACAUUGCCUCCUUCCACCAUGCGGUACAUUAGCAGUCAUGGGAAGACCUUCGCAAUGGCCACUCAUGCACAUGAGUCGAUGGAGACGCUGUAGCUUUUGCGCAAAGCUGCCAUGAGGCUUGUAAUAUAAAUAUGCGUGGCGAACCUUAACCCUAACCCUUUCUUAUUUUGGUAUACUCCAAUAUCUCAUCCUCUCUAUAUCUAUAGCCUCUUCUUAGUACUCAGCAUUAAUGGGAUUUUGAGUGGGCUAAACAUAGAGAAAAACUUGGUAUUUAUACCGCGCUAGGAUAACUCAUGCCUAUAUGGAGUAGUCAUACGACUUAGGUGAAGCUAACUAACUUUGUCAUGCAAUGCUCAAGCGAUUUGAAGAAACGCACAUUUGCG